AAGCAAACUUCAACAUUCACUUUUGCCCAGUACAGAACCGUGUCGCAACCGGUCCUUUUCUUUUAACACAAACCCAACUACGUGUUUGACUCCUAUUGCAAAGCAGAAGAAGAAAAUGAAUGAAGCUCCCAGCCGCAUUGUCAGCGUUCCGAAUUUAGCUUCCUAUGCAAAAAGCUUUCUGAGUGGUGACUUGAGGCCGAAGAGAAAUCCACCUCUGAUUACAAAAUCGACAAGUUUGGAUCAGAAUCCUGGCUGUGUCAGAGUGUGCUAUCCAUCAGUCCAAGCCUUGGAGACCAAGCCAGCCCCAAGGCUGCAAAGUAAUGAAACAUCAGAACCCAAAGAUGCUCAGAAACCGGACCCUCGCCAUCAGGAGUGGUUUACGAAAUACUUCUCUUUCUGAGAGAAACUAUUUAUAGAAUAUCCUACACGGAUAGUACUGUUGAUGUUAAAUAUUUAUAUAGUGCUUUGCAGAGCAAGAUAAGCAAGAUAACACAAGGACCAUAAACUCUGAGGUUUGUUAGUAAGAGAACCAUUAAAUUUGAUUUGACACAGCAGGAAAUUAACAUGAUUUUUAAAACAAACAUAUGGCUGAAAUAUUACCAUAAAUAAAUAAGUGCUUUUUAUAUGGAUGACCAAUCUUCAUGUAUAUACUAUUUUAUUUAUGUUAAUUUAAGAACCCUCUUAAUGUUUUAUUUCUAAUCAGGUUCAGUUCAAUAGGAUUCCCAGAGCAGCUUAUAAAAGAAUUACAACCUGAAAACACAUUUAGGUAGCACAGUAAACAAAGAAAGCAACCUAGGACAAGAAGUUAAAUUGUAUGUAUUUGAAUGUGUGAGCGGCAAAACCCGGAUGUAACCUGUUCUGGUACUUCCGGGUUGCUGCAGGAUGUAACACAAAAAAAAUGCAACAUGAAGCAGAUACAACACGAGUUAUGACUUUAUCUCUAUAUCAUAAGAAUAUAUGAAGGGUCCAGUUGGAUCAGGCCAAAGGCCCAUCCACCAACGGCUUUAUGGUUCUUUGGAUGCUAAUAUUUCAUGGUACAUCUGUGGCCAUUAGCGAGAUUACAAAACAUGUUUUUCCUCGGUUAGGAAAUAGUGUUCUUCUAUUGUCUUUACCUUAACAUCAAAUCAAGCUAACUUCAGAACAUCUGCAUUAUUUGGAUUGUCGCAUUUAAAUACAUACAGCAUUAAAGCCAAGUGUUAGUGUUCAAACUCUUCAGUUUUCAAGAAGCAAAUUCAAGAACACCUAUAAUUUCAGCCAGCAAUGCCAAUAUACUAUGUCAGAUUGCCAAACCCAUUUGGAACCAGAAUCUUUGGGAAAUGUCUGAAGCAAAACAGUGCACUUGAAAGAAAGCCAAACAAUUUUCUGAAUAAAAUAAGCCGAGGGUGCUUUGUAUAUAUAAAACAAACUUACUGUUACGUGAUCAAAAUAAAAAAUGAACAUUACCUAAAACUCAUUUGGUGAUGCUAUCAAAAUAAAACUAAGUACACUAUUUUCCCCCAUGUGUGGUUUAUUAUCAUUUUGUUGAUUCAAACUAGAGAAAGUAGUUUUUGAUUUAUAGUCAGAUCCAUGGAAUUAAAUAAAUUGUGCCUAGCUACAUACAUGUCAUGAAUAUUUUCUGUUCUUACAUUAUAAAACAGGAACCUUGAACAGCAACGCUGAUGCUGUUUUGAAGAGAUAAUUUAGAGCAACAUGCUUCCAGGGACAAAAGGACAAGACAUGGUUGAGACACAAAAGAAAAAUACGUAGGAAGCUGUGAUG